rnacentral:rRNA from 1 species
AGUCUGUUUCCAGGCCGAUUAACGCGGCACCCUGAGGAGUACCCCCGUCAUACUUAGUGCCAGCACCGGCGUUAAUACUUGGGCGCAAACCCUAGUCCGGAUACACGGGGCAUACAGGGAGCGUAGGAGGAUCAAUAAGUGGGAUGUGAAACACUCGGCAUCAACGGGACUGCAGCCGUACAAACCGGACAUCUAGAGUGCAGAAGAGGAAAGAAGCACUCCUAUAUCAGCUGGAAAAAGGCGAAGACAUUAGGAAGAAUACCAGCGGAGAAGGCCCCUUUGCGGACGGUAAAUGCUCCGGAGGCUCAACAGCGUGGGGAACCAACAGGAUAAGAUACCGUGGUCGUCCACGCCGUAAACGAUGAAUACUAGCUGUAGGGCUCGUCACGACCCCUGCGCAGCCGACGACGCAUAAAGUAUUCCGCAUGGGGACUACGGUCGCAAGAGUAAUACUCAAAGGUAUCGACGGGGCCCCGCACAAGCAGCGGAGCAAGUGGAAUAAUACGAAUCGACGCGAAGCACCUUACGUAGACACGACAUCGCCCGUAUCACUCGGGGAUGGAGGAAGCUCCGCGGAUCAGGAACACAGGUGGAGCAUGGUUGUCGUCAGCUCGUGUCGUGAGAUGAUGGGUAAAGUCCCGCAGCGAGCGCAACCCAUUAUUGUGAGACGACUACCACCUACCUGAGCACUCUAGCGAGACUGCCCGGAUUAACCGGGAGCAAGUGGGGGAUGACUCUCAGAUAUUCACGCCCCUACGGUCUAGGGAACACACGCGAACAAGGCCAGGACAGUAAGAUCAAUUCCGUGAGCGGACCAACAUUCUACAGCCGGUCUCAGUCCGGAUUGUAGUCUGCAACUCGCCUACAUGAAGCCGGUAUCGCUAGUAAUCGUGGAUCAGAAUGUUCCCGGUGAUAUAAACGCGGGCAGUGACACCACGC